rnacentral:lncRNA from 1 species
AUCUUUCUGGAGAUCCCUGCCUAGUAGAGGCCUUCUAAAGAAUUUACAAGCCAUUACCCAUCACAUCUAGAACAUUACUGGAGCUGUCGAGAUAAAGGAAUCAGCGUAGAAACAUUGUUCCACUGGGAAAUGUAAAAUGGCAUAAAGUUGGUCCCUCAACAGUGCAGGGACACACUGUGCUGAGGACUCUGAAUAUACAAAUGGUGUAAUAAUAGAACAUCAGGAAUUACUCUGUCAAUCAUCAGGCAUAAACAGAAGCAGACGGGAAUCAUGAAGGCCAAGCUGUCAGAUCCUUUGAGGAGCGGAAACGGAACCCACACAGCAUAUGGUGGUAGUUGGCUGUUCCCAGGGAAAGCUGUCUGGCUCUCUUAAAAUACAGACAGCCAAAGCAUUUGAGAAGUACUAAGAGGUGCUCCAGCCCUCUGAUCGUCUUUGUGACCCUCCUCUGGAUCCAUUCCAAUAGCUUCAACAGCUUCCAUAGAAGGGGUGCGAACAGUGGACUGUUGAUUAUCUACUUGGUCACUGGCUGUCUCCUUGGCUCUACCAUGGACCUUCCUGACUGUCUCUAUCACCCAGAAUUUGGAACAGUUCCAGGAUGGUAUUCUCCAAGGACAAUGGCUUAGAGGCUGUGUAAGCAAGCCUCCUCGCUCCUUCCUCCUUUCCUCAUAAACAGUCUUCCAAAAAACCCAGAGCUGGGUCCUAUAUAGCGUGCAUGGGGUUAAUCUUCUCUAGAAGGAGUGAAGCCUAAGCAGAGUUCACAUAGCCCAGUCUGUGUGAUAUGGACUAAAGACCAAGGUUUGGUGCCUGGCUUGUUUAUUGUACAUGCUAAAUAGUACAUUUAUAGUACAUAUGUUAGUUCACGGCACUGUGGUACGUGCUAAAGCUAAAUCUUAGUCCUCAGUUUGAAUCUUAAUUUCAUUACUGUUCAUGAACAAUCUUGAGUAGUGUUUCAUGUAGCCACUAAGCCUAUGGGCUUUUUAGGAUCAUUGUAAGGAGGUGAGAUCUUGUAUCACAUUUAUCUAUACUGUAAAAUGUACUU